rnacentral:rRNA from 1 species
UACGUAGGGUGCGAGCGUUAAUCGGAAUUACUGGGCGUAAAGCGUGCGCAGGCGGUUUGUUAAGACAGGUGUGAAAUCCCCGGGCUCAACCUGGGAAUUGCGCUUGUAACUGGCAGGCUAGAGUGUGUCAGAGGGAGGUAGAAUUCCACGUGUAGCAGUGAAAUGCGUAGAGAUGUGGAGGAAUACCGAUGGCGAAGGCAGCCUCCUGGGAUAACACUGACGCUCAUGCACGAAAGCGUGGGGAGCAAACAGG